rnacentral:rRNA from 1 species
GACGAACGCUGGCGGCGUGCUUAACACAUGCAAGUCGAACGAAGUGGCGAACGGGUGAGUAAUACGUGAGGAACCUGCCUUUCACAGGGGAAUAACACUGGGAAACCAGUGCUAAUACCGCAUAGUGAAAGAUGGCCUCGGGCCUGAUUAGCUAGUAGGUGAGGUAACGGCUCACCUAGGUGAUGAGCAGUAGCCGGCGUGAAGGUUGAUCGGCCGCAUUGGGACUGAGACACGGCGCAGAGUGCUACGCGAGGCAGAAGUGGGGAAGACUGAGCAAUGGCGCAAGCCGGUGCCAGCAACGCCGCGGGAAAGAAGAGGGUCUUCGGAUUGUAAACUUCUUUAGACAGGGACGCGUUACCUGUAGAAUAAGCCACGGCUAACUACGUGCCAGCAGCCGCGGUAAUAC